rnacentral:rRNA from 1 species
AUUCCCGUUGAUCCUGCGGGAGGUCGCUGCUAGUGGAGUUCCACUCAAGGCAUGCAAGUCAUAGGCUCGCAAGAGUACUGGCACAAGGCUCAGUAACACGUCGAUAAUCUGCCUUACAGUCUGGGAUAUCCUCGGGAAACUGAGGUCAAACCCGGAUAAAAACUACGCACUGGAAGGUCGUUGUUUUGAAAAGAAAUGCUGUAAGAUGAGUCGGUGGCUGAUUAGGCUGUUGGCGAGGUAACGGCUCACCAAACCUAAGAUCAGUAGGGGGGAUGGAAGUCCUAGCCCCGAGAAGGGCACUGAGAUAAGGGCCCUAGCCCUAAGGGGUGCAGCAGCCGGGAAACCUUUGCAAUGCACGAAAGUGUGACAAGGGAACUCCACGUGCAUACUGUCACUUGAUGGUAUGCUUUUGUUAAGUGUAAGAAGCUUAGCGAAUAAGUGGUGGGCAAUACCGGUGCCAGCCGCCGCGGUAAUCCCGGAGCCACGAGUGGGGACCAGUUCUAUUGGGUCUAAAGCGUCCGUAGUCGGUCAUGAAAGUUUCUUGUGAAAUAGUUCUUCUCAAGGGAACUGAGGGCAAGGAAAACUCCAUGACUUGAGACCGGGAGGGGGCAGGAGUAUGCCAAGGGGAGCGGUAAAAUGCGAUAAUCCUUGGUAGACUACCAAUAGCGAAGGCACCUGUCCAGAACGGGUCUGACGAUCAGGGACGAAAGCUAGGGGAGCAAAAGGGAUUAGAUACCCCUGUAGUCCUAGCUGUAAACACUGCAAACUAAGUGUUACAUAUCCUUCGUGGGUAUGUAGUGCUGGAGCGAAGGCGUUAAGUUUGCCACCUGGGGAGUACGGCCGCAAGACUGAAACUUUAAGGAAUAGGCGGGGGCGCACUACAAGGAGUGACGCGUGCGGUUUAAUUUAACUCUACACAGAAAACCUCACCAGGAGCGACGGCAGUA